rnacentral:tRNA from 2 species
UCUAAUAUGGCAGAUAG